rnacentral:rRNA from 1 species
UACGUAGGGUGCGAGCGUUGUCCGGAAUUACUGGGCGUAAAGAGCUCGUAGGUGGUUUGUCGCGUUGUCCGUGAAAACUCACAGCUCAACUGUGGGCGUGCGGGCGAUACGGGCAGACUGGAGUACUGCAGGGGAGACUGGAAUUCCUGGUGUAGCGGUGGAAUGCGCAGAUAUCAGGAGGAACACCGGCGGCGAAGGCGGGUCUCUGGGCAGUAACUGACGCUGGGGAGCGAAAGCGUGGGGAGCGACGAGGA